UACGAAGGGGGCUAGCGUUGUUCGGAUUUACUGGGCGUAAAGCGCACGUAGGCGGAUCGAUCAGUCAGGGGUGAAAUCCCAGGGCUCAACCCUGGAACUGCCUUUAAUACUGGGUAUCUCGAGUCCGAGAGAGGUGAGUGGAAUUCCGAGUGUAGAGGUGAAAUUCGUAGAUAUUCGGAGGAACACCAGUGGCGAAGGCGGCUCACUGGCUCGGUACUGACGCUGAGGUGCGAAAGCGUGGGGAGCAAACAGG
rnacentral:rRNA from 1 species